GAUUGGCAGAGCCGCGCUGGAGUCACCCGCGCCCGCUCUCCAGUGCGCAAACUCACUUCGCAGCGGGCUCUCUGGGGGCGGCCAACCCUUCCCUCCUGGGCUGGCAUUUUCUCCUCCAGGUACAACGGGGUGGUCCCCAGAGGAGGACUCAGGGUCUUAAGGAGAAGCUGAGGCCCGGUCCUCUGGCCUCGACGACUGCACAUUCUCGCCUGCUUCACUUCUUAGAGCCAUGGAGGAGGAAACCAAGGCUCCGAGAAGUUGAGAAGCUGCCCAAGGACCCACAGCCAGGGAAGGGAGCCCUGGUUCUAGGCGGGACCCACACGCACACCAGUCCACUCUCAGUGCUUCCAGGAGUGGCCUUUUCAGAGACCUCGCCUGUGGGAUCAGGAGCAGGCGGCGCGGCUCUGAGGUUGCAGCAGGGCUGAAAUGCAGAACACCAGCCUCUUUUAGGACUUGGGGCUUUCGAAGAACCGUGUUGUCACCUAGUGACUAGUAUUUCCUCGGGGUCGAACUCUGAGAAGGAGGGCCACCAGCAGCGAUGGACGAACAGCCCAUGGCAGGAGUGCUGGUGUCCUCAAAGCAGGCAGCCCGGUAGCACUGGCUGCUUCAUGGCCAGCGCAGAGCUUUGAGGGGCAGCAGAUUCCAAUGGCAGUUGAUUUGGGAGGGUGGUGGAAGCUGAGGGAUGGAGGAAUGCUUAGGACCCAGGGUUUCCCGGAGCUGCUGACCAGAUUUCCAGGCUGGUGGGCCACUUCGACCUGGCCACCGUGCAGGGAGCUGUUGCUGCUGCCUGGAAAUGCUAAGGCUGCCUGCCAGCCCAGCUUCCUGGUACAGAAACAGCAGGGUAGACGGAGGAGCCCAUCUUGUUCUUGACAAGGACUGUGCGGUUUCUUCCUUGUGUCAGAUUCUCUCCUUCCACUCCGUUCUCCUUCCCACCAACCUCGUUCUCCAUUCAUCACGUCCCGUCCCCUGGCCACCCUCUAAGGUGACCCCUCUAGAUUGCCCCCGUCUCCAGUGAUGACACUCCACUUUGACUGGCACAACCCCAGUUCCAGAACCGGAGUCCCUGCCCCUGGCAACCCCUCAAUCCCAAAGAGACCCGGAUGGUUGGUCACCCGAGUUGUCCCUUCCUUCAGGCCCCUCCAUCCUUGCCAGCAUCCUGGCCCUCACCAGGGGCCGCUCCCUUGUCCACCUCCCUCACUACUGUGGGCUCACGAGAGAGGGACACCCUGUCCACCUCGGUGCCUGCCAGGAGGGACGCACGGCAGGUGCUUAAUAAAGACCCUCACAAUGAAUGAA